rnacentral:tRNA from 1 species
UAAGUUGUCUUAAUAGUAAUCAAUUCAAAUUGAUAAUUUGAGUUAAAAUUUAAGAUUAA